GGCAAGUUCCUACGCAGGUUUAGGUUGCAUGAGAAUGCCAAGAUUGAUCAGGUGAAGGCUGCCAUGGAUAAUGGAGUGCUCACUGUUACUAUGCCCAAGGAAGAAGUGAAGAAGCCAGAGGUGAAGGCCAUUGAAAUCUCUGGCUAGAAGUUCUCUCUUUAGUUUAGGAUGGUAU